UUUCGAGUAGUAUUAGCGGCACGUCUUGCUGCGUUCGUACUGUCCCUCAAAGCUCCACUGCACACUUCGCUGUGUGCGCGGUCACAGCCACAAUGCCCAGCUGUUGUGUGCCAGAAUGCAAGUCACGCGGGUCGCAAGAAGUACCAGCCACCUCCUACCACUUGUUUCCCAAAGACGCCGUUCGUCGGACAAAGUGGAUAGAAGCAAUUUGGCCACCGCAUAUUCGCCGGGAACCUGCAAGGAAGGCUCAUGUUUGUUCGAAGCAUUUCUUAGAGGAGCAUUUUGAUCGCACGUCCGCGUUCAAAGUCCGCCUACGAGAGCAUGCAGUUCCUACUCUUUUGCUACCACAUCCAGUACAACAAGGUGAUAGAGUACCUGAUUCAGCAAGCACCGAAUCAUCCUUUGAUUCCCCUCAGCUCAUGCAAGGUGGUGCUGAAGGCUUGCUGCUGCUUGCACAGGUAAACAUUUUACCUGAUCAUCAUAUUAUGCUUACAGGUCGAGUUGUGCUUGAAGAAUGCACUUGACAAUAAAAUAAUCUGGUCACACUUGGCAUAUUAGAAUUUAAUGUGUAUUUGUACAAUGCAACGCAAGUAAAGCA
rnacentral:lncRNA from 1 species